rnacentral:rRNA from 1 species
AUUGAACGCUGGCGGCAGGCCUAACACAUGCAAGUCGAGCGAGCGGCGGACGGGUGAGUAAUGUCUGGGAACUGCCCGAUGGAGGGGGAUAACUACUGGAAACGGUAGCUAAUACCGCAUACCAUCGGAUAACCCAGAUGGGAUUAGCUAGUAGGUGAGGUAAUGGCUCACCUAGGCGACGAUCCCUAGCUGGUCUGAGAGGAUGAUCAGCCACACUGGAACUGAGACACGGCCCAGACGCCUACGGAGGCAGCAGUGGGGAAUAUUGCACAAUGGGCGCAAGCCUGAUGCAGCUAUGCCGCGUGUGUGAAGAAGGCCCUAGGGUUGUAAAGUACUUUCAGCCGGGAGGCGUUACCGGCAGAAGAAGCACCGGCUAACUCCGUGCCAGCAGCCGCGGUAAUUC